GCUAAACACCCUACAAGGCACAGAAUAGCCAUCACAAUUAUUUGGCUCCAAAUGUCAAUAGAGCUGAGGGAGAGAAAUAUUAAUAUAAACACAGCAGUUCCUGCACACCGAGGUUGAGGCUCAAGGGUGAAACCUGCCUGCUACAUGGCAAGCAGAUUGCAACUGACCACAGCACAUAAUAUGACACCCAAUGGCAAGAGAACGAUGUCAAGGGUCACUGAGAGAGAUGAAAGAUGGUGCAUAUUCAUUGACACCCCUCUCAUUGCAAAGUGGGAGGUCUGUGUCCCCUCCCCUUGAAUUCCAUGGAGUUGGGACUACUCUGACCAAUAGAAUACAACAGAAAUAACAUCUUGCAGUUUCCAAGCCUUAUAAAACUGGCAGCUUCCACUUCUUGUUUCUUGGGACACACUGCCUUGGAGCCUGUGCUGCCACUGAAGAAGUCUGAGUGCCCUGAGGCCACCAUGGUGUGGGGAAGCCCACGCUAGCCUUGUGGCAAGCCAACUGUUCCGCAACAUAGUGCGGGCUCCAGGUAACAUGAAGGAAGCUGUCUUGGGCCCUCUAGCCCAGCCCAGUCUCCAGCGAAUCCCACUGAGUGACCCUAGUCAAGCCCACAUGGAGCAGAAGAAUCACCUAGCUGAGCCCUGACCCACAAAAUCUUGAGAAGGAAUUAAAUUGCUAUUGUUCCCAGCCAGAAAAGCAAGGUAGCUUAAGGUAGUUUGUUCCACAGCAGUAGGUAACUAGAACAGUCAUGUCCAAGGAUUUGUUCCUGCACUUUCCCCUUCGCCACGUAUGGCAGAAAUUCUCAGGAAUUCUCAUGAGCCAGUGUCAUGCUAGUGCUUGUUGCAUCUGCUCCUCUCCAGCCGCCCCAGCCCACUGAUCCAAGCACUCUGUGAAAUGACUUUUGUGUGUCGACUUCUUCCCACGAGGAAGACGUUUCUUUCAUUGCCAUGUGCUGGACCCCAGUGCAGAGCCCGGGGCAUUGUCAGUGCUUAGUGUUUGUUGAAUGAGCCAAUGGAACUGGUCACCCUCCGCUGCCCUGGGGGUCCCUCAGCCUUUCCCAGAAGGUCCCUUGGACCUUCCCUCUGGGCUUCCUCACUCCCUUUUCUGCUUAUUCUUUUCUGAGCCGAAUUGUUGUAGCCC
rnacentral:lncRNA from 1 species